rnacentral:rRNA from 1 species
UGGGGGAUAUUGCACAAUGGGCGAAAGCCUGAUGCAGCGACGCCGCGUGGGGGAUGAAGGCCUUCGGGUUGUAAACUUCUUUUGCUCUGAACAAGGCGCACCAUGGGGUGUGUUGAGUGUAGGGGUUGAUUAGCGCCGGCUAACUACGUGCCAGCAGCCGCGGUAAUACGUAGGGCGCGAGCGUUGUCCGGAAUUAUUGGGCGUAAAGGGCUUGUAGGUGGCUGGUUGCGUCUGUCGUGAAAGCUCAUGGCUUAACUGUGGGUUUGCGGUGGGUACGGGCUGGCUUGAGUGCAGUAGGGGGGGCUGGAAUUCCUGGUGUAGCGGUGGAAUGCGCAGAUAUCAGGAGGAAUACCGGUGGCGAAGGCGGGUCUCUGGGCUGUUACUGACACUGAGGAGCGAAAGCAUGGGGGGCGAACAGG